rnacentral:tRNA from 1 species
GGGCCUGUAGCUCAGUUGGUUAGAGCGCACCCCUGAUAAGGGUGAGGUCGACAGUUCGAGUCUGUCCAGGCCCACUA